AGAGCUCCCACAGCUUUGAAAGGCUCCGUUUCAAAACACACAGGCUGGGCGGUGCUCGGUGACCGUGAGCACCCCAGUGGCCAGCCGCUCAGGUGUGUCCAGGCCAAGAAGCGGACACCUCUUGCCUGGCAACAGCAGGGCAGGGCUUCAUGCCACCAAGAGGGGACCACAUUUCUCUGAAUUCCUGCUACUUGGUCCUUGUAGGAUGACUUCUGUUUGUAGGUGGUUUCUGAGUGGCUUUCUGAAUAAUGGGUAUUUCAGCCGGAAGCUCGCAAAUCUUACAUUGGCCAGAGUUAUAGGUCCUGUUUGUUGAGGCUUUGUGGAGAUUGCGGUCUCCCAGGAAGACCAGCUCUAACACUCUUGCAAAGUUUCCUUCCUCGUUGCUGAUACAGGAAGACGGGGGCGACCUGACCAGCCCUGUUGGGACCGUUACUAAGGGUGCCGCCAAGGCUGACCCAGCGCUCUGUAUUGGAACAGGGUUGUUCCCACAAUGGAUGUAAAUUCAUCAACCGCAUGGCCAGAAGACCCUGCAGAGAUGACACCAUGUUACUCCCAAGACCGGGUGACGGUAGAUAUGCCGGCUCCCCCUUGCUCUGUGGGUCACUCUUGCAGGGAGCCGACAGCUGCGCUGCCUGUUGCUCCGCAGCCUCUGGCAGGUCUGGGUGGGAGGGAGCUGGGCUUCCUGUGAGCAGGCAGUGCCCGGGCCAGCAUGUGCGUGCCAUCUCCGGGGAAGGCCCUCCAGCUGGGCAGACCUGGCCCAGAGCCGCACACAGCACCUGAUCAAUGCGCUCCUCAUCCUGAUCCACAGAAGCCGGGAGAAGCUUGGUCACUGUUGCCACUGCAAGCUGCUGCAUCUCUCGGUGACGUGCUGUGCAGGAUGGGCAGUGGACACCCUCUAGGCCCCAGACCCCGUGAGAGCAAGACCCCGUCCCCUCCCCUCGUGCUCCAUGGAACCUGGACCGCAUCACCACCAUCAUGCUUGUUUAAAUGCCCUCAGAUGAACCAAACUGGAGCUUCUCUUUGCCGGCAAUGAUGAACACCCACAAAUGCAGAUGUCUUUAUGUAACAGAUAGGAAUCUUAUCUUUCUGCUGCUGUAAAUGUCACUAAUAAAAAUAGUAUCAUUAACAGUCA